GAGUCGGCCGGAGGACCUGCAGAGGGCCCUCUUCGGCCGCUCUCUGGCCCCAUCUCCCUCCCUCGGCGUCUGACUGUGCUCUCAGUUCUGCACCAUGGGGAAGCGGGACAAUCGGGUGGCCUAUAUGAACCCAACAGCAAUGGCCAGAUCAAGGGGUCCAAUCCAGUCUUUGGGGCCAACGAUCCAAGAUUAUCUGAAUCGACCAAGGCCUACCUGGGAAGAAGUGAAAGAACAACUAGAAAAGAAAAAGAAAGGCUCCAAGGCAUUGGCUGAAUUUGAAGAAAAAAUGAAUGAGAACUGGAAGAAAGAACUAGAAAAACACAGGGAGAAAUUAUUAAGUGGAAGUGAGAGCUCAUCCAAAAAAACACAGAGAAAGAAAAAAGAAAAGAAGAAAUCUGGUAGGUAUUCAUCUUCUUCUUCAUCAAGCUCUGAUUCUUCCAGCAGUUCUUCGGAUUCUGAAGAUGAGAAUUAAAAACAAGGAAAAAGGAAAAAGAAAAAGAAGAACUGUUCACAUAAAUCUUCUGAAAGCUCCAUGUCAGAAACUGAAUCGGACAGUAAGGAUAGUUUAAAAAAGGAAAAGAAGUCAAAGGAUGCAACUGAGAAAGAAAAGGACAUCAAAGGGCUCAGCAAAAAAGAAAGAUGUAUCCUGAAGAUAAACCUUUAUCAUCUGAGUCCUUAUCAGAAUCAGAUUAUAUUGAGGAGGAAAAAACAAAAAAGGAAAAGAAGCAUAAGAAACACAGUAAGAAGAAGAAAAAGAAGGCUGCUAGUUCAAGUCCUGACUCGCCGUAA